rnacentral:misc_RNA from 1 species
UUUCCGUAGGUGAACCUGCGGAAGGAUCAUUAAAAAAAGAGAAACGUCCCGUUCUUUUUCAUAAGAAUGGGUUCUAUUCCCUUAAACCGUGUCUACAUACCUUUGUUGCUUUGGCAGGCCGCCUUCGGGCGUCGGCUCCGGCUGAUAGUGCCUGCCAGAGGACCCAAACUCUAUGUUUAGUGAUGUCUGAGUACUAUAUAAUAUUUAAAACUUUCAACAACGGAUCUCUUGGUUCUG